rnacentral:rRNA from 1 species
CGAUAGUGCUUGCACUAGGCGACGACCGGCGCACGGGUGAGUAACGCGUAUGCAACCUACCUUCAACUGGGGGAUAGCCCAUGGAAACGUGGAUUAAUACCCCAUAGUAUCACAGAUUCGCAUGUUUUUGUGAUUAAAGUUCCGGCGGUUGAAGAUGGGCAUGCGUGUCAUUAGAUAGUUGGUGAGGUAACGGCUCACCAAGUCUUCGAUGACUACGGGGUCUUAAAGGAUGGUCCCGCACACUGGUACUGAGACACGGACCAGACUCCUACGGGAGGCAGCAGUGAGGAAUAUUGGUCAAUGGGGGCAACCCUGAACCAGCCAUGCCGCGUGGAGGAAGACUGCCCUACGGGUUGUAAACUCCUUUUUUACGGGAAUAAAUAUAGCUACGUGUAGUUAUUUGAAGGUACCGUACGAAUAAGCAUCGGCUAACUCCGUGCCAGCAGCCGCGGUAAUACGGAGGAUGCAGGCGUUAUCCGGAUUUAUUAGGUUUAAAGGGUGCGCAGGCGGCUUUUUAAGUCAGUGGUGAAAGUUUGCAGCUUAACUGUAAAAUUGCCAUUGAUACUGGAGAGCUUGAAUGCGGUAGAGGUAGGCGGAAUGUGUAGUGUAGCGGUGAAAUGCUUAGAUAUUACACAGAACACCGAUUGCGAAGGCAGCUUACUAUGCCGUGAUUGACGCUGAGGCACGAAAGCGUGGGGAGCGAACAGGAUUAGAUACCCUGGUAGUCCACGCCGUAAACGAUGAUAACUGGUUGUGUGCGAUACACAGUGCGCGACUGAGGGAAACCAUUAAGUUAUCCAC